rnacentral:rRNA from 1 species
GAGUAAUGUCUAAGUAUCAUUAAGUGAAUACAUAGCUUAAUGAGGGGAACUCAGGGAACUGAAACAUCUAAGUACCUGAAGGAAGAGAAAGAAAUUCGAUUCCGUAAGUAGCGGCGAGCGAACGCGGAUUAGCCCAAACCAAUAAAGUUUUCUUUAUUGGGGUUGCGGACAUAUCAUAACGGAGAGGUAUCGUAAUUGAAGAGGUUUGGAAAGACCCACCACAGAAGGUAAUAGUCCUGUAUGUUAAAUGAGAAGACUUUAGAUAUGAUCCAGAGUACCACUGGACACGUGAAACCCUGUGGGAAGCAGGAGGGACCACCCUCCAAGGCUAAAUACUACCUAGUGACCGAUAGCGUAUAGUACCGUGAGGGGAAGGUGAAAAGACACCCGUGAGAGGAGUUAAAUAGACCCUGAAACCCUGCACGUACAUGCUAUGGGAUGAC